UGGGGAAUCUUGCACAAUGGGGGCAACCCUGAUGCAGCGACGCCGCGUGAGCGAUGAAGCCCUUCGGGGCGUAAAGCUCUUUCGACCGGAACGAUAAUGACGGUACCGGGAGAAGAAGCUGCGGCUAACUACGUGCCAGCAGCCGCGGUAAUACGUAGGCAGCAAGCGUUGUUCGGAGUUACUGGGCGUAAAGAGUGCGUAGGCGGUUUUCUAAGUUCGGUGUGAAAUCUCCCGGCUUAACUGGGAGGGUGCGCCGAAGACUGGGAAGCUGGAGUGUGGGAAAGGCAGGCGGAAUUCCUGGUGUAGCGGUAAAAUGCGUAGAUAUCAGGAGGAACACCGGCGGUGUAGACGGCUUGCUAGACCAUAACUGACGCUGAGGCACGAAAGCGUGGGUAGCAAACA
rnacentral:rRNA from 1 species